ACCUGCGUCUAAAGAAAGCUGCUAAAUAUGUUCAGGUGGGACUCUGACAGAAUCCAUCAACCCCCGCCCACCGCCCCAGCCUAGGGACGUGUGAGGACAGGGGGCUGGCUGGAGCCACCUGUGGAACUGGGUGAAGAGAGACUGCGCUGGAGCAACCUGCACCAACUUGAGUCUCCACAGCCCACAGGCCAGAGGGAUGGGCCAGUAUGAGGUAAAAAUAAAUGCAGAAAGAAGUCCCAAUCUUUGCCUCUUAUGCCCCAGGACAUCAUCUCCCACAGCCCCUGGACUGAGCAGCUGUAUUAGCGGCCAGAGCCGGAACCCAGCCAGACCCUCUGGAGAGCAACUGUGUACACAGCUCAGAGGGAAGCUCAGGAAAUACAUUUAGUCCACUUCUAAGCCACUGAGACUGAUCACCCAUUCAUCCAUCCCUCCAUCCAUUCCAUUCACCCAUUCGCUCAUCUGCCUACUCCCAAGUCUCAGGCUCUGCACAUGGCUUAGAGAUUCAUUGGUGAAUAAAGCAGACAAGACCUCUGCCCUUGAGAAGUUUACCAUCUAAUAAAAGAAAACACACUUUAAACACAUAAACAUGUAUUUACCAAAUUGUGGUUCAUGUUAUGGUAGUGGCAAUAAACAAACAAAUAACAAUGACAACAACAAAUCCAGAGUACGGUAAUAAAAUAUUGUGUGUGUCCGUGUGUUGGUGCGAGACAAUCCACUGGCAAAUCCCCACUUAACCACUCCAGCAGCUGAAAAUACCCCAAGAAAACCCAGAAAUUAUUAUGCAUUAAAUUGAGCAUUUUUAUCUUAGGAGAGUGUGUUCUUGGAAGGGAAGUGAGGGUGAAGAGAAUGUGUGUGUGUUUGUGUGUAUGCUUACUUAAAAGAUAAUUUUGUUCAACAAACAUUUGCUGAGAACCUGUUUGAGGAAGAAACAUGGGAGACAGUGCUUCAAAGAGAGUUUCAUUCGCUAAGUCUGGACGAGGAGUCUCUGGGUAUGUAGAAAUGUCUGAGCCAUUUUUAGCAGCUGAGCAGUGAACUUGCUUUUGGUCAACCAGCCCUGGCAUGUCCAGGCUAGGAACAGACUUGGUGAAGCAGGAAGAAAUGCCACAAAGAUGUUACCAGAAUAAUUUAGAUUUCUUCUUGAGAUAGACAACCACCUGACAUGAAACUUAGCUUUAGACCCAUCUCUUCUUGGCUCUUUUCCUUUCCAACUCUUGGUCUAAGGUAUGAAUAACAAUAUUGCAUCCCUACUAUGUGGUGGAAGACUUCCUAGAUGAUUUUAUGCAUGAUGUCAUUACAGCAAGCUGAGGGUAUUAAUACCUUCAAUACAGGUGAGGAAGCUGGGGCUCAGGCUGUUCAAGCCCCCACACUCCACGCAGAUCCAGGUUUCUGAUGCAUAUAUGUCCCUGUGCAAUCACACACUUUCUCCUCCACCCUACCGUGCCUCCAACCAGAUCCUAGACUUUGAGCCUCUUGAGGCUGAAACCACAACUCAUUCAUUCCUGUAGCCUCCAAGCCCAGAACGGUGAGGAAUGCAACCACUCACUCACCUAUCCACCCCAAACCAGUAUUUAUUGAGUGCUAAUUCAAUGCCAGGACCUGUGUCCCGUGUUUUUAAAUCUUUGAGAAAUGAAAGAGGGAAGAGAGAGAGAAAAGGAGAUAAAGUAGAUACACAGCAGGGCUCAGGAAAGAUGGCUGCCGAACCUCAGGCUGUACAGGAGGAGAGGGUGUCAGGGGGGCUGGGCAGAGCCCCCGCUGGGAUUUACCCCUCGGCUCUGGCACUAAUCCUCUACCUGUCACUACCUCUCUGGGCUUCAGUUUUCACAGAACUUUCCAGUGCUCCUCAGGUGCCUUUUUGACAGGUAAUUCUGAAAGCUUUGUAAACUGAGCAGACCAUGUGGCCUUUCACUGCUGUGGCCUUUCCAUGAUUUGACUGAGUUCUUUUCAGGAGGAAGAACUUUUUUUCUGAAGAGGGAUUUAGAUGUGCAGCCAGGGUUGAGAACUACCUGUUAACAGGUCUUGUUUUGUUUUCCCCAUUAUCUGUAGAGGCUAGAAGCCAGGUAUACAAAGCUUCAAACUUCCAAGCCAAGCUUCCAACCCAUAGG
ensembl:lncRNA